GCAAGUCGAGCGGGAAGUUUUUAGCGGAUUCUUCGGAUGAAGUUAAAAAUGGAGAGCGGCGGACGGGUGAGUAACGCGUGAGAAAUCUACCCUGUACAGGGGGAUAGCCAUUGGAAACGAUGAUUAAUACCCCAUAUGACCACAGCAUCGCAUGAUGCAGCGGUAAAAACUCCGGUGGUACAGGAUGAUCUCGCGUCUGAUUAGCUAGUUGGUAGGGUAAUGGCCUACCAAGGCGACGAUCAGUAGCCGGCCUGAGAGGGUGAGC
rnacentral:rRNA from 1 species